AUGGGUGAGCCACCGGUUGAAUGAAAGAAAAUAACAGACCGUCGGUACCGUCAACGAAUGAUGACAUUAUUUUCCUUUCUUUUGAUGUCAGCAUCAGCUGGCUCUUAGGAGCACAUCAAAAGAAAAAAGAAAAUAAUAUGAUGUCAUCAUUCCUUUC
rnacentral:ribozyme from 1 species